CAUUUUUCCAUGACAUAGCUGUAUAGCUUGUAAAUCAGCCACAAUAAUUCAUUCAACAGAAUAUAAUAAGAUAUUUGAUGUGAAGACAGGCCAGUCAUUAGCAGAAAGAGCUGAUACUUUUAUUAACUGUAUAAUGUCAGUAGUUGAUGUGUGUCCUGAUCAGCUUGAGGUGUUUCUAAAUAUUGUAAUGAACAAGGGAAACAUUGCUUUUGUGAGGAUAGCUGAACUAAUCUCUCAGUGUUUUAAUGGAGAAGUACCUGAACAGUGUUGCAUAAAAUUGAAUAGGCAAUGAGAAGCAGACUAUAUUUUUAGAUAUUUUACAUGUUCUUAUUAAUUUCUUUAACUUAUUUUUAAUCUAGCACAAAACAAGAGGUACAGGGUCUUGGUCAAA